UUAAUAAAAUUGCACUGAGUGAUUUGAAAGGAACGAUACGAAGAAGAGUCGCAUGGCGCAUGCGCAAAGAUGACACGCAGAUUGAUGAAGGUUUCCAUAUUCUU